rnacentral:rRNA from 1 species
GACGAACGCUGGCGGCGUGCCUAAUACAUGCAAGUAGAACGCACAGUUUAUACCGUAGCUUGCUACACCAUAGACUGUGAGUUGCGAACGGGUGAGUAACGCGUAGGUAACCUGCCUGGUAGCGGGGGAUAACUAUUGGAAACGAUAGCUAAUACCGCAUAAUAUUAAUUAUUGCAUGAUAAUUAAUUGAAAGGUGCAAUUGCACCACUACCAGAUGGACCUGCGUUGUAUUAGCUAGUAGGUGAGGUAACGGCUCACCUAGGCGACGAUACAUAGCCGACCUGAGAGGGUGAUCGGCCACCCUGGGACUGAGACACGGCCCAGACUCCUACGGGAGGCAGCAGUAGGGAAUCUUCGGCAAUGGACGAAAGUCUGACCGAGCAACGCCGCGUGAGUGAAGAAGGUUUUCGGAUCGUAAAGCUCUGUUGUAAGAGAAGAACGGGUGUGAGAGUGGAAAGUUCACACUGUGACGGUAUCUUACCAGAAAGGGACGGCUAACUACGUG